rnacentral:rRNA from 1 species
UACGUAGGGCGCAAGCGUUGUCCGGAAUUAUUGGGCGUAAAGAGCUCGUAGGCGGCCUGUUGCGUCCGCUGUGAAAUCCCGGGGCUCAACCCCGGGCCUGCAGUGGAUACGGGCUGGCUAGAGGCAGGCAGGGGAGAACGGAAUUCCUGGUGUAGCGGUGAAAUGCGCAGAUAUCAAGAGGAACACCAGUGGCGAAGGCGAGUCCCUGGACGAUACCUGACACUGAGGCACGAAAGCUAGGGGAGCAAACAGG